AUACAUUUCUUCUUGCAAAUCAUUCCAUGGACCUGAUCUCAUCACUGCGAAGGUGGUGGUUGGGCUUGUUCCUCAUCUUUCUGCACCUCUUUGGGGGCUUCCUUGAUAUCAUCACUAGUUUCGUCCUGGAGAUAAGAUAUUAGCCACAAGUGUUAUGCGCAAAUCAACAAGAAUCUUACUUAAUUGCAUGAUGCAAUCACUAAGAGAUUGCUAACAAUGAAGAGUGCAAGAAGAGACAAGUACAUUGAGGUCAGAAGUCCAGAGGGUGAGAUUGUCACGCAGAAGCUGCAUGAUCAAUGUACUGUCCUUGUAUGAUUCCUCUCCCAAUGUGUCUAGCUCAGAGAUUGCCUCAUCAAAAGCCUACCACCAUGAAAAUCAUAUUUUUAACUAAACAAAAAGGUACUUGAAUCAAACUAGAAUCAGAAUGUAAAGCUUGUCCAAAUUUCACUAGUGUAUGGAAACAUUCGCAGGACCUAGUUUCCCAAUUCUGCCCAUCAUAAAAAUUAACUACAGUCCUAUCGGUCAGGCAAUGAUAAGCAAUCUGCAAACCAUUACUAGAUCAUAUGAAAAGUCUACCCACAUGGAAAUUGUAACAAGUAAACUACAUAACACGUUUUUGCCACAUUAUGAAGAUAUAUAUAAAAAAGAACCUCUCAUGUGCUUAAGUUUUAUCAAGCAGAACAGUUGGACUAUAGGUUUGUUAGUUAAUAACAGAAAGCAUAGCAUAAACCAUAUAACAAAUGAGAAAGUAACACAGACCUGCUUUGCGAGACUACACGCACGAUCAGAUGAGUUGAGAAUCUCAUAGUAGAAAACAGAGAAGUUAAGAGCAAGCCCCAGUCUGAUCGGGUGAGUGGGAGGCAAAUCAGCAAGAGCAAUAUCCUACAUAAAAAGACAAACACCAAUAGCGUGAGUCAACAUGUUAUCUUAGCACUCUAUAGGGUUAACAAGAAGAAACAAGAUGAUAACCUGAGCAGACUUGUAGGCCACAAGAGUGCUCUCAGCAGCUUCUUUCCUCUCAGCACCAGUCUUGAAUUCAGCAAGGUACCGAUGAUAAUCUCCCUUCAUCUUGAGGUAAAACACUUUGGACUCAGCCAAAGAAGCAGCAGGAAUGAGAUGAGCCUCGAGAAGGUUCAAAAUGCCAUCGCAAAUCUUGCUGAGCUCAGUUUCAAUCUUGCCUCUGUAAUCCUUGAUAAUCGAAACGUGAUCACUGUUACCCCUGCUAUCUUCCUUCUGCUCAAUGGAAGAGAUAAUCCUCCAAGAAGCCCUCCUAGCACCAAUCACGUUCUUGUAAGCAACAGACAAGAGAUUCCUCUCUUCAACAGUAAGUUCCUCAGUGUCCACGGUCUUAGCAACUUUCUCCAUGAACUCAACCAUUUCCUCGUAACGCUCA
rnacentral:lncRNA from 1 species